UCUAUGCCCGUAAUUGCACCCGUCGCAAAUAAUGGUGGCCCCCGUCGCUCUCUAACAUGGUUCGUCGGUGGAGGUGCCCCCGUCAAUACAGCACCCGGGAGUAGUGGGAUGGGGGAAGAACCCAUGUGUGUCUUGCGCCCUCCCCGAGCUGUCGAGGGCCACCAUUAUUUGCUACGCCUGCGAAUGUGGGUUUCACGAAUCCUGCGUCCACGUCUUGGAUCUGCUUAUGCGCCAGCCUCCGCCACCACCGCUGCCCAGCCGCCCUGGCGUGCGGGUUCGGCGGCCUCCGGUAGCGGUGAUCGAGGACUGGAUGGGCAGGAGCGGUCAAAUUUUGGUCAAAAUUGUCCAACAAGUAGUAGGUCUGUUAUAGAUGGUACUGGCGACCAGUGUGUUGGAGAAUAUGAUAAAAUCCGAGUUCCUGAAGAAUGAUUGGUGGUACUGGUCCUUCUUCACAGUAGCCAUGAAGACCUCAACUGUAUCCGUGCUCGCUCUCAGGAUCUACACUCUCGACGACUGUAUCAUGUACACAAAGGAGCCUAAUACCGUGCUGGCUACAAAGGUUGUAAACAAGGGGAGGACGAGGAAAGAGCCAGAACCAUCGGUGUCGUAAUCUGCGCCGCUUUAUCUAUUGUAUACCCCAAAUUUAGAUGUUUCGCAGACGAUGCAAAACAAUUUGAUGCUAUGGGAAUAGAUAGAGAUGCUAUAGACAGUCUUUGGUUAUGUGGUCCCUUGAGACUUUAGGGCUAGCUUUCAUUCUGGUGUUCCUGUCACGCUGCAACCUUGAGCAUUUAUUUUAAUAAGUCAUAUUUACCAGACUAUAGUUGCGCACCUUAGAUAUGUUAGGGCCAAUGAAGAAGGAAAAUGUGUUGUUUCGA